AUAACACUGAGAAAUUGGUACUAAUACCCCAUAAUACCUCAUGCGGCAUCGCAUGGGGUUGAAAACUCCGGUGGUUGAUGAUGGGCAUGCGUUGUAUUAGCUGGUUGGUGAGGUAACGGCUCACCAAGGCGACGAUACAUAGGGGGACUGAGAGGUUAACCCCCCACAUUGGUACUGAGACACGGACCAAACUCCUACGGGAGGCAGCAGUGAGGAAUAUUGGUCAAUGGACGCAAGUCUGAACCAGCCAUGCCGCGUGCAGGAUGACGGCUCUAUGAGUUGUAAACUGCUUUUGUACGAGGGUAAACCCCGAUACGUGUAUCGGGUUGAAAGUAUCGUACGAAUAAGGAUCGGCUAACUCCGUGCCAGCAGCCGCGGUAAUACGGAGGAUCCGAGCGUUAUCCGGAUUUAUUGGGUUUAAAGGGUGCGUAGGCGGUUUGAUAAGUUAGAGGUGAAAUGUCGGGGCUCAACCCCGAAACUGCCUCUAAUACUGUUGGACUAGAGAAUAGUUGCGGUAGGCGGAAUGUAUGGUGUAGCGGUGAAAUGCUUAGAGAUCAUACAGAACACCGAUUGCGAAGGCAGCUUACCAAACUAUAUCUGACGUUGAGGCACGAAAGCGUGGGUAGCAAACAGGAUUAGAUACCCUGGUAGUCCACGCAGUAAACGAUGAUAACUCGUUGUCGGCGAUACACAGUCGGUG
rnacentral:rRNA from 1 species